rnacentral:rRNA from 1 species
GUGGGGAAUAUUGGUCAAUGGGCGAGAGCCUGAACCAGCCAAGUAGCGUGCAGGAUGACGGCCCUAUGGGUUGUAAACUGCUUUUAUACGGGGAUAAAGUGAGGGACGUGUCCCUUUUUGUAGGUACCGUAUGAAUAAGGACCGGCUAAUUCCGUGCCAGCAGCCGCGGUAAUACGGAAGGUCCGGGCGUUAUCCGGAUUUAUUGGGUUUAAAGGGAGCGCAGGCCGGAGGUCAAGCGUGACGUGAAAUGUAGCCGCUCAACGGCUGAGUUGCGUCGCGAACUGGCUUUCUUGAGUGAGUACGACGUCAGCGGAAUUCGUGGUGUAGCGGUGAAAUGCUUAGAUAUCACGAAGAACCCCGAUUGCGAAGGCAGCUGACGAGUCCUUUACUGACGCUAAAGCUCGAAGGUGCGGGUAUCGAACAGG